rnacentral:rRNA from 1 species
CGUGUAGGCGGCCUCUUAAGUCUGAUGUGAAAGCCCGGGGCUUACCCCCGGAAGUGCAUUGGAAACUGGGAGGCUUGAGUACCGGAGAGGAAGGUGGAAUUCCUGGUGUAGCGGUGAAAUGCGUAGAUAUCAGGAGGAACACCGGUGGCGAAGGCGGCCUUCUGGACGGAUACUGACGCUGAGACGCGAAAGCGUGGGGAGCAAACAGGAUUAGAUACCCUGGUAGUCCACGCUGUAAACGAUGGGCACUAGGUGUUCGGGGUAUUGACCCCCUGAGUGCCGCAGCUAACGCAUUAAGUGCCCCGCCUGGGGACUACGGCCGCAAGGUUAAA